UUUGGUCAGGACGAACGCUGGCGGCGUGCCUAAUACAUGCAAGUCGAGCGAAUCGAUGGGAGCUUGCUCCCUCUCGAUUAGCGGCGGACGGGUGAGUAACACGUGGGUAACCUGCCUGUAAGAUUGGGAUAACUCCGGGAAACCGGAGCUAAUACCGGAUAAUAUUUUGAACCGCAUGGUUCAAAAUUGAAAGACGGCUUUUGCUGUCACUUACAGAUGGACCCGCGGCGCAUUAGCUAGUUGGUGAGGUAACGGCUCACCAAGGCAACGAUGCGUAGCCGACCUGAGAGGGUGAUCGGCCACACUGGGACUGAGACACGGCCCAGACUCCUACGGGAGGCAGCAGUAGGGAAUCUUCCGCAAUGGACGAAAGUCUGACGGAGCAACGCCGCGUGAACGAUGAAGGCCUUCGGGUCGUAAAGUUCUGUUGUUAGGGAAGAACAAGUACCAGAGUAACUGCUGGUACCUUGACGGUACCUAACCAGAAAGCCACGGCUAACUACGUGCCAGCAGCCGCGGUAAUACGUAGGUGGCAAGCGUUGUCCGGAAUUAUUGGGCGUAAAGCGCGCGCAGGCGGUUUCUUAAGUCUGAUGUGAAAGCCCACGGCUCAACCGUGGAGGGUCAUUGGAAACUGGGGAACUUGAGUGCAGAAGAGGAGAGUGGAAUUCCACGUGUAGCGGUGAAAUGCGUAGAGAUGUGGAGGAACACCAGUGGCGAAGGCGACUCUCUGGUCUGUAACUGACGCUGAGGCGCGAAAGCGUGGGGAGCGAACAGGAUUAGAUACCCUGGUAGUCCACGCCGUAAACGAUGAGUGCUAAGUGUUAGAGGGUUUCCGCCCUUUAGUGCUGCAGCAAACGCAUUAAGCACUCCGCCUGGGGAGUACGGUCGCAAGACUGAAACUCAAAGGAAUUGACGGGGGCCCGCACAAGCGGUGGAGCAUGUGGUUUAAUUCGAAGCAACGCGAAGAACCUUACCAGGUCUUGACAUCCUCUGACACCUCUAGAGAUAGAGAUUUCCCCUUCGGGGGACAGAGUGACAGGUGGUGCAUGGUUGUCGUCAGCUCGUGUCGUGAGAUGUUGGGUUAAGUCCCGCAACGAGCGCAACCCUUGAUCUUAGUUGCCAGCAUUCAGUUGGGCACUCUAAGGUGACUGCCGGUGACAAACCGGAGGAAGGUGGGGAUGACGUCAAAUCAUCAUGCCCCUUAUGACCUGGGCUACACACGUGCUACAAUGGAUGGUACAAAGGGCUGCAAGACUGCGAAGUCAAGCGAAUCCCAUAAAACCAUUCUCAGUUCGGAUUGCAGGCUGCAACUCGCCUGCAUGAAGCCGGAAUCGCUAGUAAUCGCGGAUCAGCAUGCCGCGGGGGAAUACGUUCCCGGGCCUUGUACACACCGCCCGUCACACCACGAGAGUUUGUAACACCCGAAGUCGGUGGGGUAACCGUAAGGAGCCAGCCGCCUAAGGUGGGACAGAUGAUUGGGGUGAAUCACACAAGGG
rnacentral:rRNA from 1 species